GACAGAGGGUGCAAACGUUGUUCGGAAUUACUGGGCGUAAAGCGCGUGUAGGCGGCUUGGCAAGUCGGGUGUGAAAGCCCCGGGCUCAACCUGGGAAGUGCACUCGAAACUGCUUGGCUUGAGUACUGGAGAGGGAAGCGGAAUUCUCGGUGUAGAGGUGAAAUUCGUAGAUAUCGAGAGGAACACCGGUGGCGAAGGCGGCUUCCUGGACAGUUACUGACGCUGAGACACGAAAGCGUGGGGAGCAAACAGG
rnacentral:rRNA from 1 species